UACGGUGAAUACGUUCCCGGGUCUUGUACACACCGCCCGUCACACCACGAGAGUUUGUAACACCCGAAGCCGGUGGAGUAACCUUUUAGGAGCUAGCCGUCGAAGGUGGGACAAAUGAUUGGGGUGAAGUCGUAACAAGGUAGCCGUAUCGGAAGGUGCGGCUGGAUCACCUCCUUU
rnacentral:rRNA from 1 species